rnacentral:tRNA from 1 species
CGGGAUGUAGCGCAGUUGGUAGCGCGCUUGGUUUGGGACCAAGAUGUCGCAGGUUCGAAUCCUGUCAUCCCGA